CCCAACUAUCCCUAUUAAUCAUUACGGUGAUCCUAGAAACCAACGAAAUAGAAUCAGUCCGUCCUAUUUCAUUAUUCCAUGCUAAUGUAUUCAGACGAUAGUCUGCUUUAAACACUCUAAUUUUUUCAAAGUAACAGUCCUGAUUUCCCAUCACACCAAAUGAAUGGCAUGAAAGUUCCUCAGAAGGUGAGAAAUCAAUAAUAUCAGUACAUACCAACGGCAUGACCGAAACAUUGAUCCCGAAAUUCAACUACGAGCUUUUUAACUGCAACAACUUUAAUAUACGCUAUUGGAGCUGGAAUUACCGCGGCUGCUGGCACCAGACUUGCCCUCCCAA
rnacentral:misc_RNA from 1 species